GCUCCGAUGGUCUAGUGGUAUGACACAUGCUUCACACGCAUGGGGUCCUCAGUUCGAUCCUGAGUCGGAGCA